rnacentral:rRNA from 1 species
CCUACGGGAGGCAGCAGUAAGGAAUAUUGGUUCAAUGGGCGCAAGCCUGAACCAGCCAUGCCGCGUGCAGGAAGACGGCCCUAUGGGUUGUAAACUGCUUUUGAACAAGAGAAAACCUCGGUACGUGUACCGAGCUGAUAGUAUUGUUAGAAUAAGCAUCGGCUAACUUCGUGCCAGCAGCCGCGGUAAGACGAAGGAUGCAAGCGUUAUCCGGAUUCAUUGGGUUUAAAGGGUGCGUAGGCGGCCUGAUAAGUCAGUGGUGAAAUCUCUCAGCUUAACUGAGAAACUGCCAUUGAUACUGUCGGGCUUGAGUACAGAUGAUGUGGGCGGAAUAUGACAUGUAGUGGUGAAAUACUUAGAUAUGUCAUAGAACACCGAUUGCGAAGGCAGCUCACAAAACUGUAAACUGACGCUGAGGCACGAAAGUGCGGGGAUCAAACAGGAUUAGAUACCCUGGUAGUCCGCACCGUAAACGAUGAUUACUCGUUNUUGGCAAUAUGACCGUCAGCGACCAAGCGAAAGCGAUAAGAAUCCACCUGGGGAGUACGCCGGCAAACGGUUGAAAACGUCAAAANAGAGUAGACGGACGNGAGGAGAGCGACGGACGACGACGAGGGGAGGAGG